rnacentral:rRNA from 1 species
UCCUACGGGAGGCAGCAGUGGGGAAUUUUGCGCAAUGGGCGAAAGCCUGACGCAGCAACGCCGCGUGCGGGAUGACGGCCUUCGGGUUGUAAACCGCUUUCAGUGGGAAAGAUAAUGACGGUACCCACACAAGAAGCUCCGGCUAAAUACGUGCCAGCAGCCGCGGUAAUACGUAUGGAGCAAGCGUUAUCCGGAUUUAUUGGGCGUAAAGCGCGCGUAGGCGGCUUGUUAAGCAAGGUCUUAAAUCUUGGGGCUCAACCUCAAGCCGGAUCUUGAACUGGCAGGCUCGAGUAUGGUAGAGGAAAGUGGAAUUCCCAGUGUAGCGGUGGAAUGCGCAGAUAUUGGGAAGAACACCGAUGGCGAAGGCAGCUUUCUGGGCCAUUACUGACGCUGAGGUGCGAAAGCUAGGGGAGCAAACAGGAUUAGAUACCCUGGUAGUCC